UCGAGAAUCUUCCGCAAUGGGCGAAAGCCUGACGGAGCGACACCGCGUGCAGGAUGAAGGCUCUAGGGUUGUAAACUGCUGUCACAUACUAGGAAUGCUGUGCAGCUAAUAAGUGUACGGUUGACUAACGUGAAAGGAAGCACCGGCUAACUCCGUGCCAGCAGCCGCGGUAAUACGGAGGGUGCAAACGUUGUUCGGAAUUAUUGGGCAUAAAGAGCACGUAGGCGGUGCGGCAAGUCAGAUGUGAAAGCCCUCGGCUUAACCGAGGAAGUGCACCUGAAACUGCCACACUAGAGAACGGUUGGGGUGAGUGGAACUCCUGGUGGAGCGGUGAAAUGCGUAGAUAUCAGGAGGAACACCGGUGGCGAAAGCGGCUCACUGGACCGUUACUGACGCUGAGGUGCGAAAGCUAGGGGAGCGAACGGG
rnacentral:rRNA from 1 species